UACGAAGGGGGCUAGCGUUGCUCGGAAUUACUGGGCGUAAAGCGCACGUAGGCGGCUUCUUAAGUCGGGGGUGAAAUCCUGGAGCUCAACUCCAGAACUGCCUUCGAUACUGGGAAGCUCGAGUUCGGGAGAGGUGAGUGGAACUGCGAGUGUAGAGGUGAAAUUCGUAGAUAUUCGCAAGAACACCAGUGGCGAAGGCGGCUAUCUGGACGGUUUCUGACGCUAAGACGCGAAAGCGUGGGGAGCAAACAGG
rnacentral:rRNA from 1 species